rnacentral:rRNA from 1 species
AUGGCGACCGGCGCACGGGUGCGUAACGCGUAUGCAACCUACCUGUAACAGGGGGAUAACACUGAGAAAUCGGUACUAAUACCGCAUAACACUAUGAGAGGCAUCUCUUGUGGUUGAAAGUUUCGGCGGUUACAGAUGGGCAUGCGUUGUAUUAGCUGGUUGGUAAGGUAACGGCUUACCAAGGCGACGAUACAUAGGGGGACUGAGAGGUUAACCCCCCACAUUGGUACUGAGACACGGCCCAAACUCCUACGGAAGGCAGCAG